rnacentral:rRNA from 1 species
AGGAUGAACGCUGGCGGCGUGCCUAAUACAUGCAAGUCGAGCGAACGGACGAGAAGCUUGCUUCUCUGAUGUUAGCGGCGGACGGGUGAGUAACACGUGGAUAACCUACCUAUAAGACUGGGAUAACUUCGGGAAACCGGAGCUAAUACCGGAUAAUAUUUUGAACCGCAUGGUUCAAAAGUGAAAGACGGUCUUGCUGUCACUUAUAGAUGGAUCCGCGCUGCAUUAGCUAGUUGGUAAGGUAACGGCUUACCAAGGCAACGAUGCAUAGCCGACCUGAGAGGGUGAUCGGCCACACUGGAACUGAGACACGGUCCAGACUCCUACGGGAGGCAGCAGUAGGGAAUCUUCCGCAAUGGGCGAAAGCCUGACGGAGCAACGCCGCGUGAGUGAUGAAGGUCUUCGGAUCGUAAAACUCUGUUAUUAGGGAAGAACAUAUGUGUAAGUAACUGUGCACAUCUUGACGGUACCUAAUCAGAAAGCCACGGCUAACUACGUGCCAGCAGCCGCGGUAAUACGUAGGUGGCAAGCGUUAUCCGGAAUUAUUGGGCGUAAAGCGCGCGUAGGCGGUUUUUUAAGUCUGAUGUGAAAGCCCACGGCUCAACCGUGGAGGGUCAUUGGAAACUGGAAAACUUGAGUGCAGAAGAGGAAAGUGGAAUUCCAUGUGUAGCGGUGAAAUGCGCAGAGAUAUGGAGGAACACCAGUGGCGAAGGCGACUUUCUGGUCUGUAACUGACGCUGAUGUGCGAAAGCGUGGGGAUCAAACAGGAUUAGAUACCCUGGUAGUCCACGCCGUAAACGAUGAGUGCUAAGUGUUAGGGGGUUUCCGCCCCUUAGUGCUGCAGCUAACGCAUUAAGCACUCCGCCUGGGGAGUACGACCGCAAGGUUGAAACUCAAAGGAAUUGACGGGGACCCGCACAAGCGGUGGAGCAUGUGGUUUAAUUCGAAGCAACGCGAAGAACCUUACCAAAUCUUGACAUCCUUUGACAACUCUAGAGAUAGAGCUUUCCCCUUCGGGGGACAAAGUGACAGGUGGUGCAUGGUUGUCGUCAGCUCGUGUCGUGAGAUGUUGGGUUAAGUCCCGCAACGAGCGCAACCCUUAAGCUUAGUUGCCAUCAUUAAGUUGGGCACUCUAAGUUGACUGCCGGUGACAAACCGGAGGAAGGUGGGGAUGACGUCAAAUCAUCAUGCCCCUUAUGAUUUGGGCUACACACGUGCUACAAUGGACAAUACAAAGGGCAGCGAAACCGCGAGGUCAAGCAAAUCCCAUAAAGUUGUUCUCAGUUCGGAUUGUAGUCUGCAACUCGACUACAUGAAGCUGGAAUCGCUAGUAAUCGUAGAUCAGCAUGCUACGGUGAAUACGUUCCCGGGUCUUGUACACACCGCCCGUCACACCACGAGAGUUUGUAACACCCGAAGCCGGUGGAGUAACCUUUUAGGAGCUAGCCGUCGAAGGUGGGACAAAUGAUUGGGGUG